UCUGCACAUUGUUAGAGCUUGGAGUUGAGGCCACUGGCUGGCCGAUGAACUCACAAGUGGAGGUAGUGUGCUAUAUGAGGAGCACAUCUUUCGCUAACAACGCAAGGGUCUCUGGUCCAAUGAGUGGAGUUUGAUAGUAAUUCUUGCCACAAGU